rnacentral:tRNA from 1 species
GCCCUCUUGGCGCAAUUGGACAGCGCGUAGGACUUCUAAUCCUGAGGUUGUCGGUUCGAGUCCGACAGGGGGCU